UUCCUAGUUCGGAUGACAUGUAAAUGGGGUUUGGUCAGAGGAGAUCUGUUAGUGAAGAUAAUUGAAGCUUGUUCGUCAUAAUACAUAAUCCUUUGAACUGUGAACAUAAAACGCAUAACUUCUGUUUUGGGGGAUGGGAGAAGCUUCUCCUGGCAAAUUGUCUUCUGCCACACAGCAGUAAAAUUUGUUUUUACCAUAGGGCUCUUUUGUUGUGCAUCUCUUUUCAUACUUGCUGCAGUUUUAUUUUGUGAUGUUCUCUCAUGCCUCGACGAUGCAUCAUAAUUUUCAUGGUUCUUUACUCGUUAAUAUUGGAAUUCCUGAUUCCCUCUGGCCUAGGUUUGUUGAGCUAAUUUGUCUAUUGCACAAGGUUAUUUCACCAAGCUAGGUUGCUAAUGUUCCGAACUCUCCAUUCUUGGGACUGGUUACCUGACAGAUGUAGCUUAGUUGUAAAGAUGAGGUUUUAGUGAUGGAAAAUAUUCUUGAAGUUGAUCUUCUAUUAUGAUAUUGAACCUCUUUUUGAGAAACGUUUAUGAAGUUCUCUGGUCAUCAUAGUUUGAAUACUUUGCAGGAUGUUG
rnacentral:misc_RNA from 1 species